UUUUUUUUUUUGGUUGUUGUUGUUGGUUGGAGAUUUAAGGAUUUGGAUUAGUAGGUCACCUUAUAAAGAAAAAGAAUAUCAUUAAGCUACAAUUUGGAUUAAUUGUCAACUCCAUCUUUAUCAUGAAUCAUAUGGGUUCUUUUCUUUCCUUUAACAUAAUUAAUUAACGAUAGCUUAAAGUUUUGGAUUAAUUGACAACUGCAUCUUUAUCAUGAAUCAUAUGAAUUAUUUUCCCUCCUUAAACAUAAUAAUUCACGAUAUGUGAUGACAUUAAUAUAAUUCACACCUCACUCCCCUGCCGGCACCACUAAUAUUCACAAAAACAUCCAGACAAGUCUCUAUUUGUUCUUCCGCAUAUAUUCUAAAAUAUGCAUGAAUAAUUAAAUUAAUAAUUUCAAAAAGUCAUACUAGGUUUUUUAUGUACUUAGACAUAGUUAAUCUUUUAAACAACAUAUGAAUUAUGUAUUAAUUUAGGCUAAGACUAAAUAUGAUAUUUAGCCAAAUUAUAAAUUCUGGAAUCAACCAAUUAUAAGGUCAUAUAUAAAUAUUAUUAUAUUUAACUAACUUCAUUUAAGACUACCUAUAAUUAUACUCCCUCCGUCCCAGCUUUUUGUAUCCACUUUUAGUAGGGAUACAAAAAGCUGGGACAGAGGGAGUAUAUUUUAGAGAAUAUAUAUAUAUAUAUAUAUAUAUAUAUAUAUAUAGGGUAGGGUUAAUAUAAAAACCCCCUCUUAAGAUGAAAACUAGGAACCAAUUUAAAACCAUUGAUUUAAAUAAAAUAGAGGGCUGAGAUUAAACUACAGAUGCACAAUUUCGAUUGCAUAGAUGCACAGUUUCAAUUGCAUGGAUGCACAAUUUCGAUUUGCUUGAGUAUUUUGCAUUGUUGGUUUCAAUUGCAUAAAUUGCAUAUUUUUAAUUGCACAGUAAAAUAUAAUAGAUGCACAGUUUCUUUUGUUGACUAAAUCCUAACCAUUAGAUCUAAUAUUUAAAAGGUUAAGAUUAGCUUCCUAGUUCUCAUUUUAACAAAGGUUUUAUUAGAACAUCUUCCUAUAUAUAUAUAUACAUAGAAAUAAAUAAUAAAUAAGACAUACAUAUAUACAAUAACGAAUUAAAAAUAUUUAUAAAAUUAUUNGUAUAAUUUAGUAUUUUUUUACGUAAAAAAAUAAAAUAAUAUAAUAUAUAUAUAUAUAGGGUAGGGUUAAUAUAAAAACCUACUACUUAAGAUGAAAACUAGGAACCAAUUUAAAACCAUUGAUUUAAAUAAAAUAGAGGGCUGUGAUUAAACUACAGAUGCACAAUUUCGAUUGCAUAGAUGCACAGUUUCAAUUGCAUAGAUGCACAAUUUCGAUUUGCUUGAGUAUUUUGCAUUGUUGGUUUCAAUUGCAUAAAUUGCAUAUUUUUAAUUGCACAGUAAAAUAUAAUAGAUGCACAGUUUCUUUUGUUGACUAAAUCCUAACCAUUGGAUCUAAUAUUUAAAAGGUCAAGAUUAAGUUCCUAGUUCUCAUUUUAACAGAGGUUUUUAUUAGAACCUCUUCCUAUAUAUAUAUAUAUAUAUAUAUAUAUAUAUUAAUUUAAUAGUAGUGUUAAUUGUUUUUAUAAAUUUAUUUAUCUUUAAAUUCAUAAUAAAAAGUAAUAUUAAUACUCCCCUAAUAAAAUUCAAAUAAUUGUAAUGCCACAUAAAUUAACCACACAAAAGUUUUCCCAAUUAAUAAAGAUGAAAAAAAUAGCUUGGUUGAAACUUAUAAAAUGAGAGAGAGAGAGAGAGUAAUAUAUAUCAAAUUAAAGUUUGUGUCAUGAUCUUUAAUUGGAUAUACAAAGGGAUUCACCAUAAUAAAAAAUUGUAUUAUGAAAAGGUAAAACAAAUGUUAAAAAAUAAAAAUAAAAAUAAAAUAAAAAAGAAUUAAAAAUAAAUUUAUUCAAAAAAAGAUGAGAGUUGAGAGAUUUUUUUUAAUUUAAAAAUAAAUAAAUUAAAAGUUUUACAUUUUAAAUCAAAUAUUUACAUAAAAAUAUAUCAAAUUAAAGCUUUUAUCGUGAUCUUUUAAUGUGAUAUGCAUAUUAAAUAUUUUAUAAUUAGUCGAAUUUCACUAUUUUAGAAAGAAAUAAAGUAAAAAAAAAGAUAAAUAAAAAGAAAAUAAAAAAGGAAAUAUGUAAUUUAUAAAUAAACCUUUAAUUUUAUUAUAACUACAAAAUUAUUACUUAAUUUUGAAAUCAAUUUAAAAUUGAUGACAAAUUGAAAUCUUAAAUUUGUAAUAAUAGAUAUACAGUGAUUUUGACAAAGCGUAAAAAUUAAAAUAGAUAAUUAGAGGAAAAAUUCUAAUCAACGUCCCACGGCCACGUCCAAUAUAAUAAUAUUUUAUUAUUAAAAAUCAAAUUAAAAAUUCGAGUAUCAACAUCCAUUCCUCGGUACAGCAUGGUGAAUUACACAGGUCGCAUUCAUUAUAUCAGAUCAAUUCACCACAGUUAAAUUUGCAUACGGCUUUCAUCAAAUUAAUUAACUUCCGAUUGAUUUUUCUUUCUAUCACACUGAGUGGUGGGGAUGGGGACACUAUUUGAAAAUGGGGCGUUAACCAUAAAAAAAUCAAUCAUUAAAAAUGAUAAAUCGGUCAUUAGCUAGAAAAUCUAACGAUUGAAUUAACGAUCAAUUUGAAGCAAAUGGAUCUCAUAGCUCUCAUAGUACUCUCUCUUUCUUCUCUCACUUUCAAUUUGAUAGCCUUGAGGUUUAAGGAAAGAGAAGAAUCCAUGUGAUUCAUGAUAAAGAUGAAGUUGUCAAUUAAUUCAAAACUUUAAGCUAUCGUUAAUUAAUUAUGUUAAAAGGAAAGAAAAGAACCCAUAUGAUUCAUGAUAAAGAUGGAGUUGAUAGACAAUUAAUCCAAACUUUGUAGCUAAUUAAUGAUAUUCUUUUACUUCAUAAGGUGACCUACUAAUCCAAAUUCUUAAAUCUCCAACCAACCAACCUAAAAAACUCAAAAUUCAGAAGAAAAAAAAAACUCUAGCAGAAUGAGCUCGUUUCAAAAGCUAGCUACAAUAUAUACUUUUCCAUUGCUUGUCACGUUAUUUUCCCAAUAAUGAGAUAAAAAUUCUUUCGGCUAUCUAUCUUCCUACAACAAAAAUCGAGUUAUUAUUUAAACAAAUAAUUAAAAAUUGUAUCCAAUAUCAUAAUUCGCUCAUCAAAUAUGUGAAUAUAUAUUUUGGCAAUUAAUCCCAAAGAUUAUUUGCUAUUGCAUGCUUGGUCUCUCUCCCUCUUUUUUUUUUUCCUUUUUUUUUUUCACUUGUUAGCUGUUAUCUGUAAAUUAACAGGAUCAAAUCAGAACUUAGAGAAAAAGUUCACAUAUAAUAUAUUAAUAUGCAGUGUAUUUUAGUAUUUUCGAUGAUACUUUAAUUACUUAUACAAAAUCUUAAUUAUUGUUUUGGGUAUAUAUGGAGGAACACGAUAUCAUCACACAGUGGCAAUUACAAUCUUAACGUGACUCAUUCUGCACUUAUAUAAAUGAAUAUAUGGGCCCUUUGAUUGCGUCCUGCUUUCUUGGGUUUUUUAAGGUUUUUUGUUUUGCAAUAAAAUCGUAUUUUAAUAAAUGAAUAUAUGGGCAUCAUACGUGUUGCCUUGGUUAAUCAUUUCAUAUUAUAAAACCUUAGUUUUUUGUUUUGAUAGAUAAAUCUUCAUCAACAUGUAUAUGAUACAUCCAUUACUCGAGAUUCUAUCACGUUGUUGCUAUCUAGUGAACUAUAACCUCAUUUUUAGUGGUCGUUUGGGGACAUCCAAAUACUGGAGACUCUCUCUGUAAAUAUUGCACGUACUCACAAGUUAAUAUUUGCCAUAAAUUUUUGUUAAACAUAUGACUAUGAGUCAAUUAAGAUGGGUGACCAACUGGAAAGUUCGUCUAACGUAUACAAUUAAGUUAAAAAUAUAGUAUAAAUACAGAAAUACUUGUGAGCUAGGUAUAAAUAAAUAAAAUACCGCCGGCAACCACCGGCGGUGACGUCUGACAAUAGCGCCACCGCCGUCCGAUCAACAUUACCAGCAGCGAUGCUCCCGCUACUAAUCACCAACGGCGGAGGCGCCGGUAAAACUCCGGUAAAAGAUCACCGCUCACCGACGAUCUUUAGCGGCAGCGGCGCCGUUAAUUACCAGCGGCCGUCUUUUACCGCCGGUACUAUUGAAGUCAUCGACGAGCGAAAUACCGGUGGCGAGAGGCCGUUGGCAACCAUUUUUCCGGCGGUAUAUGUAUGAUUACCGGCGGCAUUGAGCGUGUUUUUUGUAGUGCUCGUAGUAUCUAAAAUGUCUUUGAUGCAUCAUAACAUGAUAAAAAUAUACUUAUAUUGCCGUCGGUAAUCAGCGUAUUUUUUGUAGUGCUCUUAGUAUCUAAAAUGUCUUUGAUGUAUCGUAACAUGAUAAAAAUAUACUUAAUAUUAGUUUAUAUUAUAACGCUCUAGAACAUAAGAUUUUAAUAAGUCGAUCGGAUCGUGAGUGUUAUUAAUACAUGCAUCAAAGCUUUCUCAGCUUCAUUCAUUCUCUCUCUUCUUGUGGUAAGUAAUUAAUUAAUAAUGUUUCUCUCUCUAGCCCACCUCUCUAAUUUCAUAAUAUUUUCUUCAAUAAUUGUUAACAAAACUUUCAUGUGUUGUUUCAGUAUGGCUAUUUUUGUGAUGCACGAAAAGAUCUAGGAGAGCUGUAGAAGGCUGUAAUGGAUGAAGAAACUAUGCCUGACACAAUAAAAAAUCCUAGCUUACGUUCUAUUUUUGCACAUGAUCCAACCAUCAACUAUAUUACAAUCCUUUAAGAGGUGAAGAGAGGUGUCUAAUAGAUCAAGAAAGGGACCUAUAUAUAAGCAUAUGGAAUAAAUAUAGUACAAAAUUCAAAAAUACUGAUAAAAUUCGAAAAUUCUUGUCGGCCACUAUUCACUAUUGCGUGUGAUUUUCUUGUUUCGGCCAUAUCUCCGUCGUACGAACUCCGAUUGGCGAUCCGUUUACGCUCAUGAACUCGUAUUGAGAUGAUCUACAACUUCUAUUUCAGACCAUUCUUCCAAAUUCGGCUUCAAUAUUUCUAAAAUUUCCAUCAAAGUUCGAGUAAGUAUCAUAUUUCUCAAGAUAUAUAAAACAAUAUAAACACGAAACAACUAUCCAACACUCAAUUUCUUAUAAAAUUGACAUCGUAUGAACAUUAAAAUGCAUAGAAACAUGAGUGUUAUCAAACCUUAAUUAUUUAAAGUUUAUAAAAUUCACAAUUUAUACUUUGUCUUUCAAUUAAUAUAGUCAAAUGUAGAAUAAAUAAUGCCAGAAUUGAACAAUUGUAUAUAAUUUAUAUUUUCCAAAUAAAAAUAAUCACAUUUUCUAAAUGUGUAAUAAAGGGGACAAUCAAGGUGGGACGGAUGGGAUAGAUCCAGUGCCCCACAAUUUUAUAUGUGUCACUAUGUCAUGCUUAUAUCUAUUAUUUUAAUAAUAUUUUUUAUAAAAAUAAAAUUUAUUACUAUAAUACUAUGAAUUAUAUUUAAUUCUUAAUUAUUUUAAAAAAUUAUUUUUUUUAAAAAGUAUAUACCAUGAUUUUGAAUUUAUCAACCUAUUAGCAGCUAAUAAAAGUGAAAAUAAAUGAUAAAAAAUAAAUAUAUACCCUAGAUUGAUGGUAUAAACCCUAGUUAAUAAUCCCAAAAUUAAACUAAAGCAUUCAAUAUCGAAAUUAAAGAAAAAAUAAAUAAAAUUAAAAGUUGGACACAAAAUGGGACAUCAAAUAUGGUACAGUGAAUCACAUUUGGGGUGGGAGGGAGUAAUACUCAUAGGCUUAUUCGUUGCCAUUCUGCUUGGGCUCGAAGGCUUGUGCAUCAUCAGUUGUGUACAAUUUAGCAAAUCAGAAACAAAUACUAGGAUUUCAUAAUUUGGGUUGAUAUUCUUUGAGAAACAAAUAGUUUUCGUCAAAGUAAAGCAUCUCAUGUUGGCUCAAAUGAAUCCACGCCUCAAUCCCAUGUCCCUCUUUGUCGCUCAUGAGCAACACAAAGUUGUUACCCGACGGCCCAUUAAUGUGAAUGCGCGUCCAAAGAGGCGUCCCCCAUCCGAAAUCACAGUCGUGAAAUUGAAACCCACUACAAUCAGUGAAAUUUAUAAUAUUGGUUUCAGGUUGGCUCACAUGUUGUAUCAAUCUUUCCAUAGUAUCUGUGUAGAUAUGGCGUCCAUCCACAUCAGGAGACAGAAUCUCGGCAUGACGAGUUAUGGCAUUUCGAACAGACUCUCCCAUUAGAAGAACAAGUUGAUCAACACCAACGUCAGCGCCGGCUUGUAUGCAUCUCGUCAUUGCUGGCACCGCGAAAUUCCCACAAGCGUGUCUGGACUGAGGUGGGAUUGAUCUCUCCCGCAUGUCCACCGCUUGCAAUAUGACGGACCUUCUGCUUCUGCCGUGGAUGGCGCCAUCCACCCGGAUUAGGGCUUUGGCUAUGACGGCACACACAACACGCACUCCAGAUAAGGCUUUUCCAUCGGUAUGUCUUAUUCUUAAUUUUAGGCUCCUUAAAGUCUCCUUGUUGAACAAAACCCUCUUCAAAGCAACGUUGUGAUCCGCGCCCACACGCUGUUCCCCAAAAUCAGGGGCCUGCUUGCUCACGGACGGAAGCAACGAGGAGAGAUGGAAAGUCGGGUUUACCUUCUUAUCAUGAUACGGAUUGGCGGCGUCCGACCAGGCGACCACGAACGUCCACAGCGACGACCCGUCCAAGACCUUGUGGGAACGCUGAUGGCGAUCGCGGCCCCGCCACACGAGAAACGUGUGAUCUGGAUCGAGAGGAGUGGAUUUUCAGGAGCUUCGUCGCGUCGGAAAUGUUGGUCUGGGAGGAGGUCGCGGAGCUCAUGGAUCUCCAUUUCUGGGCCGAGGUCCAUCAGCUCGACGUCUAGAGCCUCUGCUUCCACGAGCUCCGCUCCCUCAUCGCUGCAAUCAAUCCAACUAUCCUUCUUCAUAAAUCUUCCUGCAAGAGGAUAGAAUUCAACCAGGAUUCUGGCCAGUGAUGCUUCCAAGAUAUGGCUGCCGGCAUCUUCUGCUAUCGAUUCGUAAAACAGAACAACAGCGUUAUUAAUUGGGCGAACAAGCUCAUCUAUAAACGACAACUUGUAAUUCUUGAGGUUUUGAGGGGUUGGGGUGUGUGGUUUUACCAACUUGCUGCUGAUUUUAUUCAUCUUCAUUUUUUUUUUAAUUGAUAGUACUGGAGUGAAUACUUGAUACACACAAAACUAGUGCUCUAUAUAUAAGCAAAAGUUGAAUUAUUAAUUAAUAAAAGUUACAAUAAAUGAUACUUUCUCGGUCCCACUAAUUAAAAGUGACCAGUAUUUCAUUAAAAAGAUGUAGGCAAAUUUAACCCUUAAAAAGAUGUAGGCAUUGUCACUUCUAACUAAUUUACAUUUUUUUCUUAAUUCUCGUGUCGAAAAGUUUUGAGCUACUUAUAAUGGGACGGAGGGAGUAAAAAAAAUUAUACUCCUAACUAGGGCUGACAAAUCAUGCGUAUCAGAUCGUUAUCGAAUCGACACGACAUGAUAAGGACAAACAUGACCACGAUCCAGGCCAAUGACCUCUUGCUUGUAAGAGAGAGAGUUUAAAUAUGAUCUUGCAAUAGAAUUUUAGAUAUAGAUUCUGAGCAUUUGUCAAAUUUCUGUGAACAUGACUAAUAUCAAAAUAGUCAGCAAAAAAUUGAUAAAACCGUGCAUCCCCAGCUCCUCUAAAAUCUCACGAUCUACAAAUUAUAUCAUUUCUAGAUAAGAUUAACAUUACUGAUUUUGCUAGUGGUGAGAGCGAAGUAAAUUAGUGAAGGAAAUCGUAAUUGUAGAGCUGGUGGGUACAACUACCCUUCACCAUUAUUCAAUAAAUAUUAAAUAAUUUGUCCCUACACCAAAAGUGUUGGCACACAUCUUUUAAUAAAAUAAACAAUAUUAUAUAAAAUAAAGGAAUGACAAAGCAAAAUUAAUUUAUUAAGUAAUUAUUAAAUGAUAUGAAUAUGAUUUUUCCUAAAAAAAUAUUGAGUGCGAAUGAGAAUGAAAAUAUAAGAAUGUGUACAAAAAUGUAAAUGCCACUAGGGCUGGUAAACCGGUCGGUUCGAUUAAAAUCGAACCGGUUUACCGGUUAAUCGGAACCGAAUUAGACCCUGUGGAGUAACCGAAAACCGAACCGGUUUAUGGUCCGGUUAACCGAAUAACCGGUCCGAUUUGAUCGGUUAAUUCGGUGAUUUCGAUUUCGGCCAGGAUUAACCGGUUAAUCGGUUAACUGAAUUAAUCCCAAAAAAUUCAAAAUUAAUGAAUUUGUAGGAAGUGGGGUUCGAAUCUUGGCCUUUCAAAGAAAGGAUGAGGUCCUAUCCACUCCACCAACUAAUAUUUUAUGCUUAUUAAGAACACAAAAAUAUUUUAUAAAGACUUAUAAGGUUAUAUUAAAAAAAAAAGAACAAUUUUAAUUCUAAUAAAUACAUUCCCAACCUAAGCAACAAUUUAACCACAAAUCAAUGCUAUAAAAUACUGAACUGGAGUGGACACAAAAUGCAGUGAAACAGAGGUGGCAAAAAGUCAUUUUUAUAGUUUUAUAUUUUCUUUCGUUUGAAGGAUGGUAAUCCAAUCUCGCUUACGAGAAUUAAAGGAAUAAAGUGGUGACUAUAUUCUGUUACACAAUAAAGCUCAACUCAACAAUGAGCCAAUGAGAGGCAUUUUCUGUUACAAAUAUAUAAAGAAAAUUGUUGUCGAAAUUCAAGACACAUGAUGACUAUAUUCUUUAUUUCAACUGGACUAUUUGCACAUGCAAGCAUAAAUCCAUGCAAUGCUUUUGGACAGAGUCACAUAAUUUUGAGAUUUAUCAUAACACUAAUACACAAUAGCAUCAACCUUCGAGCAACUCCUUUUCAUUUCAUCUCAUAUAUUAAGUAUUGCAAUUUUUUUCCCUAUUGUCGCACACAACACAACCGCAUAUUAAACUGUAUAACUACAAAGUAAAGAUUCAUAUUAGCAGCGGAAUGCUGAAUUUCUGCACUGCAGUUGAGACACACUAGCAUACGAAAUUGAAUAGAUUUACAUAAUGGUCAAAGUUAGCAGGAGCAACAUUUAUUUUACCUUUUGAAGGCACUCUCGAAACGGCCAAACUGGUAUUUGUCUAUGGCAAAUUGGACAGCCGGGAUGGUGAAGGAGGCUAUGGCAGCCGGGAUGGCGGGCGGAAGUUGACGAUGGCAAAUGCAGCGGCGGAUGGGAGAAAGGGGCUGGGAGAGCGGUUGCGUCCUGCCGCCUAUAGGCUGAGCAGGGGGGAGCGGUGCCGGUGCCGGUGGGAAGACACGCCAGUGCUGGUGGGAAGAUGCGCCGGACGUCGGAAAAAGAAGGGAGGCACCGCAAAACGUGAAGUGCAGAACAGCAGAAGGGGACUGGGAGAGCGGCUGCGUCCUGCCGCCUGCAGGCUGAGCACGGGGAGNGGGGAGGGGGAAAGAGCGGCGUCGGUGCUGGUGAGAAGACACGCCGGUCGGACGUCGGAAGAAGAAGUGAGGCGCCGCCCGCAAAGCCUGAAGUGCAGAACAGGCGUGAAUUGAGAAGAGAAGUGAGACGCGAGAACCCUGACUAAUUUGAUAUAAAAUAAAAUAUAAAACAAUUAAUUUAAUAAUUUAAGUAAAUCGGUUAAUCGGUUUUACCGGUUAAAUCGAUUAACCGGUUAACAGAGAUAUAACUAACCGAUAACCGAACCAAACCGAAAAAACUGAUUUUUUCGGUUCGGUUACAGUUUUAACCGAAAAACCGACACCGAAUUACCAGCCCUAAAUGCCACACUUAUUAUAAACAAAUCAAUAUUGCAAAAAUACUAUAAUUCACGUGGACGAGGGGACGUUUAGAUCGGAGCACACACAAACCGAAAGGAAAAACUCACACAAAAAAGACUAAACAAAUUACUAGCUGAUGAGGGAUGAAAUAUGUACUGCCCUGAGAUCUCGACAUGUGGCUUACUCGGACAAAUUAGAGAAUCAGAGAAGACAGAAAGUAUGCCAGAGACGGAGCUUGGGACCAAACCCCAAAGACAGAGCUCGGGACCAAACCCCAGAGACAGAGUUCAGGACCAAACCCCAGAGACGAAGCUCAAGACCAGACUCUAGAGACAAAGCCCCGAGGCCAGACUCCAGAGACAGAGCCCGAGGCCCGCAACAAGAGAGAGAAACCAGGACCAUAUUCCAAAGAUGAAGCUCCAGACCAGAUUUCCACGGUUUUGCACUAAAUGACAGAGAUCCCGACGAUGAUCUUACACCUUUAUUGUACCGUAUCCAUCUAGGUCUAAGUAGUUAGUGCGCGGAGCGCGUGAAAUAUUGUAAAAGUACUAUGAUACCCCUCCUUGUAACAACUAUAAAUAGCCUUCUUCCAUAAUGAAAAACACAUGAUAUUCACCACCCAAAACACUAUAAGGCUUUUUAUCUUGUGUUCAUGGAAACUCAGGUGAACCAAAAGAAAUCUCUCACCGUUGAAAUACUUUAGUUUAAUUCUUUACUCAUCAACUGGCGCCGUUUGUGGGAAAAAAGUCUAAGACGUGAGGAAUUAUCGAGCGAUUCUGCUUUUUCGGAGUACUCACCGAAGUUCUCUAUCUUCGAGGGGGUAUUCUGGAUCGAAAGACAUAAAACAUCGACCAAAAUGUCCAAAAAUUAAGCAAUUUAUGUUACCAUUGAAAGGCUGAAUCAGUUGUGGGGUGGAAGUUUACCAGCGUUAUGUUUUAGCUUCGUUUUUACUCUAAAUUUUUGUGUUCUCGUCUUGGAAGCCAUGUUACAUGUGUACUUUUAUAUGAUUAUGAAAUAUGUGCAUUGAUUUGAAAGUUGUAAUCGUUUUAUGAACGUGUGGGCGUCGAUCUGGAGGUCAUCAGUGUGUAUGAAAUGGUAUAUAUAGGUUGAAAAACCUUCCUCGUGCCAAAUGAUCACUCUAUGAUCUAGGUCUGGAAUGAUACAACGCCAUGUACCUUUGCGUGUAUGUGUGGAUCUAAGAAUCUGGAGUAAGUUGAAAUCCGUGUGUUUCUGUGCUUAUAAGUAUUGUUCACCUUCUCGCAGUAGAAAACUUCGAUUGCGUAUUUUUCUGUGCAAAAUUUGGUUAAGCUUUCCAAAACUGAUUUGCUAUCUGUGAAUGUUGAAAUUUUGGUUAAGUUAAUUUCCAUCUCGUGUUCUGCAAAGUUAGUUGCGUGUCUUUUGAUACGAUAUCUGUGAAAUCAUAGAGAUCAUUAUAACGAUUAUACUCACAGUCUGAUGGAAACUCAGAAAAUGGAGGACACCACUAUUCCUCAGAAUCUUGAUAGGUAAUUCAAGAAGGAAGCCAAUAACGUCAAUCUCCAUCAGACGGGAAACGAUAAAGUAACCCAUUCUGUUGGAUUAACACCACCAAGGACAACUAAGCUAGUGCACUCCACUCCCUUGCAGGUUAAUACAGGGUUGUCGUAGACAAGACCCUUCUCACUAUACCAGAGCAACUGUUGUCAUUACUCAACUAUACCUGUAUGAGACAGAUGAUGGGGAUCCCAUUCACUCCCUUGACCCUUGGAGUUUCGCCGGCACCAGGAAUACAUCUCCGUUUAUAGGAAGUUUGGGAACUACGCUACAACUAGUUCUGGAAGGACAUAAUUUGAACAGGUCUGACGUUAUAAGGCGUUUAGGACAAACCGAGCCAUUGUACCCAAAGGAUAUGGAUAACAUUGAAGACGUGGAGGACACUUCAAGUAAAACCUCCAAAAGAACGGAACAUCAGACCAAAGAGACGUUACCUGUAGACCUAGAGUUGUUAAAGGAAAGGGUUUCCCUCAUGCAAAAGCACAUCCGAGAGCUGGAAGCAAUGAUAGAGGGGAAAGAGCACCAUGCGCAGACCGCCAAAGAAGUGAGGGAGAAGGAGAAGAGCCGAAUAGCUGUAUCCAGAAAAAAGGCAGCAUUCUCAUGAUGAGCAACAACAAGAAAUGACGAAGAGGACGGUCAGGAGGAAGAGGAGUGGAUCCAUUCUUCCCACCCCGGGAAGAGCAUAGCACAUAACUCUCGGGCGCUAUACGGAGAAUGACAAAAGAAUAGGCGAACGACAGGGGGACGUGCUUACAUCCCGCGUCUCCAAUCUAGCCCUUUCUUGGAGGAAAUCUUGGUUGACAUCCUACCUAGCCAUUACAAGCCAAUCAAUAUGGAAUAUGAUGGUUCCGAGGAUCUAGAGGUACACAUGGCCAUAUUCGAAACCGUGGUGAUGCUUCACCAAUACUCUGAAGGCAUUAAGUGUCGGUUAUUGUGAGACUCAUAACACCUAUCUAAUUUUAAUAAUACUAGACUGAAGCAUAAAUUGGAUUAAUUGUUUAUUGAUCUGAUUCUUGAACUGAACCUUUAUCAAAUUCAGUCUAGUGCUCACUCUCAAACUUGAAACUCUUAGACUGAAAUUUUGUGUCAUAUCCUUAGUAUCAGUCAAGAUUACUUCAGUUUAUGAAAGUGAGUUUUUCAAAAGAAGCUUUAAAAGUUUUAAAAGUCAAAAUUAGUCUUCUGGUGUAUUCCCUCCCCCCCAAUACACCAGUUCCGUAACCCUCAUGGGCCCAACAUUGUGAACUUGCAAAUAUAUUAUUUUUGAAAUUACAAUAUAUGGUAUUGUAGAAUUACGUUGAUAUUGGUACUUGAUUAAAUUUAAUGAUUUUGUGUGAAUUGAUUUGUCUGAUUAGUACUGCGUUUAAAACUAAAGAAUUGAGAAAAACACAUUUGGUCUUUUUGAAUAAAUCUAUAUAAAAUUAGCGAUUGCAAGUAUAAUGUGACUCAUAACAUAUAUCAAUUAAAUAAAAUUGGUAUCAAUUAUAAAUGUGAGAAUUUAUUGUUAACGAGUGAUGGUAAAGUAUAAAAUUUGAAAAUCAAUAUAAAAAAAAGGAAAAGUUUAGUUAAUCAGGUAAUUAAGUUGAUUUUCAAAUUAAUUCUAUUGAUCUAAACCCUUAAACUUCAAUCAUAUUGGAUUGUCAAGCUAUUUGAUUAUAUGUCAUUCAAAUUUGAAAUUUUCACUUUUUAUAUUCAAUUUAUCCAGAAUCAUCUAUUGAUUUCUGAUUAAAUUGAUAUGAAUUUAAAAAGUAUAUUCACAAACUUUAUGUAUAUAAGAAAGCAUUUUAAAUUUUUUUUAUGAAGCUAAUAUAUUUUUUUGCCUUCUUUGUAUAACUUCAAUGCGUAUAUUUUUUUUCAUUUAAUCAAGCUCUUAUAUAAAUUUAUAUGUACAAUAUUAUAUCAUGAAAUAAAAUGAUCCUGUCACAUAUGCGUAGGUGAUAGACUAGUUAUGAUAAUUUAGUAUAACGAUCAUCUUCAAGAGGUUCAUGAAGAUGUAAUUGAUUUCCAAUUAUUAACUAUAUAUGACGGAAUAUACAUAUAAUUAAUACAAUCCAAAUUAUUUAUUUUCUUUAAUUACUCAAAUAUUAUCUAUCUAUCUUUAAACUUUAUCAUAUUAAAAAAAAAAGCAUAAAUUAGGGUGCUACGUAUACAUAUAGAAACAAACAUUAAACAUAUCUGAUUGAUUUUCAUUUAAAUACAUAUUUGAUCACAUACAAUGGAUACAUUUAUUCGAAGAGCAUAUAGAGGCUUAUCCACCUUCAUACAUUAAAAUUACUGAUAGGCGACAUGAGACCACACGCAAUAACAUAAACACGAGACAACAUACAACAUGAACUUGAUAAUUAACUUUUUCACUUUCCUGACUUAUCUCCAAUCGCAUCGUCAUGGUCAUCAGCAUCUAUAAGGAUAUCAGGUUUUGGCUCAAAAUCUUUGCAGAAGAUUUCUCACUUGUGGCUUUGUGACCAUCCUCAUUGGAAUUGUCAUGAUUAAUUAUAUAGAAAGAAAUUGGGUCUUGGCUCAAAAUCUUUUACAGAAGAUUCCUCAC
rnacentral:lncRNA from 1 species